rnacentral:rRNA from 1 species
UCUUAAAAAAGAUAGCGUUAUAGCUC